UUUGAUGGCGACCGGCGCACGGUGAGUAACACGUAUCCAACCUGCCGAUAACUCGGGGAUAGCCUUUCGAAAGAAAGAUUAAUACCCGAUGGUAUAAUCAGACCGCAUGGUUUGAUUAUUAAAGAAUUUCGGUUAUCGAUGGGGAUGCGUUCCAUUAGGCAGUUGGUGAGGUAACGGCUCACCAAACCUUCGAUGGAUAGGGGUUCUGAGAGGAAGGUCCCCCACAUUGGAACUGAGACACGGUCCAA
rnacentral:rRNA from 1 species